AUUGAACGCUGGCGGCAUGCCUUACACAUGCAAGUCGAACGGCAGCGCGGGGCAACCUGGCGGCGAGUGGCGAACGGGUGAGUAAUAUAUCGGAACAUACCCUAGAGUGGGGGAUAACGUAGCGAAAGUUACGCUAAUACCGCAUACGCACUAAGGUGGAAAGUGGGGGACUCGCAAGAACCUCAUGCUCAUGGAGUGGCCGAUAUCUGAUUAGCUAGUUGGUGAGGUAAAGGCUCACCAAGGCGACGAUCCUUAGCUGGUCUGAGAGGAUGAUCAGCCACACUGGGACUGAGACAGGCCCAGACUCCUACGGAGGCAGCAGUGGGGAAUAUUGGACAAUGGGCGAAAGCCUGAUCCAGCAAUGCCGCGUGAGUGAUGAAGGCCUUCGGG
rnacentral:rRNA from 1 species